rnacentral:rRNA from 1 species
CGCCAGACUCCUACGGGAGGCAGCAGUGAGGAAUAUUGGUCAAUGGCCGGAAGGCUGAACCAGCCAAGUCGCGUGAGGGAAUAAGGCCCUAUGGGUCGUAAACCUCUUUUGUCAGGGAGCAAAGGCGUCCACGUGUGGACGAGAGGAGAGUACCUGAAGAAAAAGCAUCGGCUAACUCCGUGCCAGCAGCCGCGGUAAUACGGAGGAUGCGAGCGUUAUCCGGAUUUAUUGGGUUUAAAGGGUGCGUAGGUGGUUAAUUAAGUCAGCGGUGAAAGUUUGUGGCUCAACCAUAAAAUUGCCGUUGAAACUGGUUGACUUGAGUAUAUUUGAGGUAGGCGGAAUGCGUGGUGUAGCGGUGAAAUGCAUAGAUAUCGCGCAGAACUCCGAUUGCGAAGGCAGCAUGCCGGCUCCACACUGACGCUGAGGCACGAAAGCGUGGGUAUCGAACAGGAUUAGAUACCGUAGUA